rnacentral:rRNA from 1 species
CACGUAGGGUGCGAGCGUUGUCCGGAAUUAUUGGGCGUAAAGAGCUCGUAGGCGGUCUGUCGCGUCUGCUGUGAAAACUCGGGGCUUAACCCCGGGCCUGCAGUGGGUACGGGCAGACUAGAGUGCGGUAGGGGAGACUGGAAUUCCUGGUGUAGCGGUGAAAUGCGCAGAUAUCAGGAGGAACACCGGUGGCGAAGGCGGGUCUCUGGGCCGAUACUGACGCUGAGGAGCGAAAGCGUGGGGAGCGAACAGG